rnacentral:sRNA from 1 species
UUGUUUGGGGUUUUUUUGGUUUUUUUUU